rnacentral:lncRNA from 1 species
UAAAAAGAGAGGGUUUGAAUAUGAUAAAUAAAGAAUUAUAUGUGAUUUAUACAAUCCACCACGUCAAAUUAGUCGAGCAUAACCAUAAACGAGGCCGCGGGAUGGGUUUUGAUUAUAUAAUUAGUUUCACAACAUCAUCAUGAUGUGCGAACGAUGCUUAAUUUGCAAACAUGAAUCAUCAAUAAUUAUUGAAAUUCAUACAUCAUAAUACAUUUUAAAAGUUCAAACCAUCCAUAAAUACAUACACACAUCCCGACAUCCAUCCACCAUGUCCAUCUCACCCCAAGAGAAGAAGCCAAAAGAUACAACGAAACCCUGCAUCACAAGCAGUGCAUCACGAACAAGGGCAAACAUGUACAACAAACCACAUACCCUUUAACCCUAGCACUGACCAACUUCCAUAAAAACAAAACAUACAUCUAGGUGAAAAAAAUAAAGCAUCUUAUUAUCCAGCAACUUGUCGCACACAAUUUCUCCAUUAGUUGCAUAACUUAAGAAGAUAAGUGCUUCUUGGAAAAGCUGCUUUUUUCUAGUCGGAUCUUGUUGGCAACAUUGCACUGCUGUCGGAUCUCGCCCUUGUUUCCAGUGAGAGGGUUGUUCUCGGAGAGAAUGGUGAAGGCUCUCGAAAACUCCUUGAAGAAGUAGUCUUGGCUCUUGGCCAUUUUCUUGACGUAGGGUUUUGUCCUCUUGUCCGUGGCUAGCUGGUGGUCCACCAUCAUCAAACCCUUGUUGUCCAAGAUGUUUCUGUAGUAGUUAUUAUCGAAGAUCAUGGGGGUACCACGGUCAUUUCUCACGUACUGAACGGCUUUGGGGUCGGGGAUAGCAUCAGGGCACUUCUUGAGCAUGUGAG